rnacentral:rRNA from 1 species
AUUGAACGCUGGCGGCAGGCCUAACACAUGCCAGUCGAGCGGAUGAAGGGAGCUUGCUCCUGGAUUCAGCGGCGGACGGGUGAGUAAUGCCUAGGAAUCUGCCUGGUAGUGGGGAAUAACGUCCGGAAACGGGCGCUAAUACCGCAUACGUCCUGAGGGAGAAAGUGGGGGAUCUUCGGACCUCACGCUAUCAGAUGAGCCUAGGUCGGAUUAGCUAGUUGGUGGGGUAAAGGCCUACCAAGGCGACGAUCCGUAACUGGUCUGAGAGGAUGAUCAGUCACACUGGAACUGAGACACGGUCCAGACUCCUACGGGAGGCAGCAGUGGGGAAUAUUGGACAAUGGGCGAAAGCCUGAUCCAGCCAUGCCGCGUGUGUGAAGAAGGUCUUCGGAUUGUAAAGCACUUUAAGUUGGGAGGAAGGGCAGUAAGUUAAUACCUUGCUGUUUUGACGUUACCAACAGAAUAAGCACCGGCUAACUUCGUG